GUGAGAUGUAGGGUUAAGUCCACGCGACGAGCGCAACCCUUGUCAUUAGUUGCUACGCUAGAGCACUUUAAUGAGACUGCCGGUGACAAACCGGAGGAAGGUGGGGAUGACGUCAAGUCCUCAUGGCCCUUAUGGGCAGGGCUUCACACGUCAUACAAUGGUCGGGACAGAGGGUCGCCAACCCGCGAGGGGGAGCCAAUCUCAGAAACCCGAUCGUAGUCCGGAUUGCAGUCUGCAACUCGACUGCAUGAAGUCGGAAUCGCUAGUAAUCGCGGAUCAGAAUGUCGCGGUGAAUACGUUCCCGGGUCCUUGUACACACCGCCCGUCACACCAUGGGAGUGGGUUUCACCAGAAGUAGGUAGCCUAACCGCAAGAGGGCGCUACCCA
rnacentral:rRNA from 1 species